GUUUACUGACUGUGGGAGGUGAUGAUGCAGCUGUGUGGCCGAGAGAUGCAGCUGUGCGGCUGCCUAUGUGCAGUGCUGACCGGACAGGCUUGCGUGCACAUGAGAAGGUCAAGGAUGAAGCUGGCUUCCGACACUCCACCCUAGAGGGUUUUGAGUAAGAACUUGAAGACACUUUUUUUCAACUUUCAUUUUUAUUUUCUGUGUUGAUCCAGAAAGGAAUGAAGCUGGGAAGCCUGCUUAAAGCAUGAUGCAGGAGCGGCCACACUGUAACGCAUUACUGACUGGGCCUUCUCCGCGGGCUUGGGAGUUGCACACAAGUGUGAGCCUCUCAGAAGAGCCAAAUGAUGGAAGCUUAAGAAACGCCCUGAGCUAUGCAAAGAAGACACUCAGCCAGGGGCUGGAGAUAGACAACUGGGGAGUUUCAGAAAGAAGACACUGCUUAGCAUAUUAAUGGGACACGUGACUUACUGAGAGCAGCAACUGGAAACACAGGAGCGGAAACACAGAAACAAAUUUCACAGAACACAGAGGCCCCGAAGUGGCUCCUCUUCCCCUGCCUUUCCCCACCACGUGCUUAACUGCAGUACCUUCAGCAUCCGUUCUCAUGGACCCCUCGUGUGGUGACUCCUCAAGUGAGUGGCAUUACUGGAGGGGCGGCCUUGUUGGAGGAAGUGUGUCCCAGUCUCUCCCUGCUUCCUGCAGAUCCAGAUGUAGAACUUUCAGCUCCUU